ACCAGUGGGCUUACAGACAUAACAUGGAGUUCCAGUGGAAGUGAUUUGUCGGAUGAAGAUAAGACACUUUCUGAAUUACAGAGAGAUGAAUUACAGUUCAUCGACUGGGAGAUUGACAGUGACAGGGCAGAGGCUAGUGACUGUAAUGAAUUUGAAGAUGACGAGGGUGCUGUGGAAAUCUCAGACUGUGCUUCUUGUGCAAGUAAUCAGUCUUUGACAAGUGAUGAGAAGCUGUCUGAGCUUCCCAAGGUAAGAAUGAAGUAUUUCAAAACUUUUAUUCACUUUAUAACAUUUGCUAAUCAUAGUUGUCUUGUUUUGUUUUGUUUUGUUUUUCCUGUCCUUCCUCAAGAACAACCACUUUUGACUCUUAGGGGAUUCUUUUGUUCUUUACUCACUUAUCUCUAAAUAACAUGCUUGUGUUGCACUUCUCAACAUGGAUAAAUAUUGAUCUCACUUCUCAUUCACUUCCCACCCUCACUGCACACUGAACGUUUUUUAUCCUACUAUUCUUCCAGUGCAGAUAUAUCAAAGUUU
rnacentral:sRNA from 1 species